rnacentral:rRNA from 1 species
UACCAGCACCCCGAGUGGUCGGGACGAUUAUUGGGCCUAAAGCAUCCGUAGCCGGUUCUACAAGUCUUCCGUUAAAUCCACCUGCUCAACAGUUGGGCUGCGGAGGAUACUAUAGAGCUAGGAGGCGGGAGAGGCAAGCGGUACUCGAGUGGGUAGGGGUAAAAUCCGUUGAUCCAUUGAAGACCACCAGUGGCGAAGGCGGCUUGCCAGAACGCACUCGACGGUGAGGGAUGAAAGCUGGGG